rnacentral:lncRNA from 1 species
AUGGGGGACCCGAGCCAGCAGCCCCUAUGGUGGGCUAUGGGGCGACUCCUGCCAUGCCACCUUUGUAUCAACCUGGCCCAGUCCUUCAGCCUCCACAGUCUGUUUUCGUCACACCUGUCCAGCCGAGCAACGAACCCGAUUACCUGGCCUACUCCAUCUUCACCAUGCUUUGCUGCUGCCUUCCCUUGGGCAUUGCCUCCUUGGUUUAUUCUAUACAGACCCGAGAAGCCAAUCAUAUGGGAAAUCGCGCAGCUGCACAGCGGAACUCCAGGAUGGCACGGAUCUUGGCCCAUACAGCCCUCGGGGUGGGGCUUGCCUUCACCGUUCUCUACAUCGUCUUCGUCGUGGUCAUUUACAACGUUCACUAAAAGUGACAGCUUCUCAAAACUACUUCUCUGUUGGCAACUAAUCGGUGGUUUUGUCCCCUUAAAUCUUUCCAAUAAAAACAACCCCAUGGAGACAAGCUGAUUGAUGGGCACCAAGGAUCAAAUGGGAAAGCAGGGUCCAGCUGGGUGGCUGGACAAUGUCCCUUUGAUCAGCUAGGUAGUCCUAAGGACACUUAUCUUGUCGGUGGCGAUCUAUCGAUGAUCAAGCCCUUGAAAUGAAAUUCCUGAGAUGGGUUUAUAGAUCAGGCUCUCCUCUCUCAUUCUCUUGCCCAGGAUUAAUUCCUGUUGUAGAUUCCUCCUUCUGUAUUUCAUCUCUUCCUCUGUAUUCGAUCACCCGUAUUGCUCUUUGAACCCGUGUCUGGGCUCGCUGGCUUCCCUUGGACGACUUCUUGCUUGCCAAUAUUUCACGGAUGAAAACAAAAGUGUGUUUGCAGCACUCCUGCUCUCAUAGCACGAAUUGCUACCUAAACACUGUUCUGUUCCACAGAUGGACAAUAGAUGGCUCUCCGGUUGACAUUGCCAAACAACUGCCAUCAUUCUACACUGUUUGAAGAUGCUGGGAGUGGCCAUCAAGCAAUGUCUGGAGAGUCAGUCAUUCUCCAUCCUCAUUUUCUCUGCAUUGUCACCAGUGCAAAUAGCUGCCCUACAAACACAAUGCCAGAAAAAUAUGUACGGUUGUAACUGAUUUGGGCUAUGAUUGCCUGUUCAAAACAAGCCCCAGUUUCAGAAUGUGUCAUGGCAGGCUACAGGGCAUGGCUACCUAAUGUUCAUGUGAAUUUGUUCACUUGGUUAUACAUUAAGGGCAAGGCAAAGACAUACCGCCUUGCCUUCUAGAGCUGUGGGUCCGAACCUUGGGUCCCCAGAUGUUCUUGGACUACAACUCCCAGAAGUCCUGGCCAGCACUGCUAGUAUUCAUGGUUUCUGUGAGUUUUAGUCCAAGAACAUCUGGGGACCCAAGGUUGGGAAGUACUGCAGUCAAGAUGUUUUGAAGAAGUAAAAAUAUGAAGUCGUUGAUUUUGAAGGGAAGGGAAUAAAUAAACUUCUUCCCAUGUAACA